GGUAGCCCCGUGUCGCAUGUCGUGUAAGGCGGCGGGGCCCCUGGGCCAGGGGCUGUGGGGACCCUGUAACUGCUCUCUGGGGUGGAGCUCAGGCCUUGACCUCCAUCGAGGUAAAGGAGAAUUGAAAGCAGGUAUAUCUGGGUUUCACGGUGCACCCGAAGGUGACUGUGCGUGGGGACUGAAUUGCUUUGGCGCAGCGUUCCUGCGAAGAGGUUCGUGGGAAGUGCCUUCCUCCCUGCUUUCCUUCAACAGGCUACCUGAAGCCUCGGGCGGAGGAGGAGAGGAGGGUAGCCGCCGAGGAGAAGAAGAAGCAGGAUGAACUGAAACGGAUUGAGAGGGAAUUAGCGGAAGCCCGAGAUGACAGCAUCCUGAAGUGAGCCUGCCUUCCUCCGCAGCAGUGUGGACGAAUAAAGCUUUCUGUGUUGUGGGACA